GUAUAAAAUUCAUCUUUUAUUCAACAUUCUAAAAUGACAGGGUGUUUUGUGUUUAGAUAGACCUGAAAUGAAAAAAAAGGGAAAGCCGACUAGAAAAGAAGCGCAGCAGUCCCAAAAACUCGGUCUACAAUAUGUGCACAGUUGGAGAGAUAUAAAGAUGACAAGCGUGCACAUUGUCCUGGGACCAGCAACAGCCUGUUCAAGUUUAUUCGAUAAUGAUCCUUCCGCAGGUUCACCUACGGAAA
rnacentral:misc_RNA from 1 species